rnacentral:tRNA from 1 species
GUCUCAGUGGCGUAGUGGUUAGCGCACGAGCCCCGGAUCGGCGCGAGUCGCGGUUUCGAGUCCCGCCUGAGGUG